UACGUAGGCAGCGAGCGUUGUUCGGAGUUACUGGGCGUAAAGGGUGCGUAGGCGGUUUUCCAAGUUUGGUGUGAAAUCUCCCGGCUUAACUGGGAGGGUGCGCCGAAAACUAGGAGACUUGAGUACCGGAGAGGUAAGCGGAAUUCCUGGUGUAGCGGUGAAAUGCGUAGAGAUCAGGAGGAACACCUGUGGUGUAGACAGCUUACUGGACGGUCACUGACGCUGAGGAGCGAAAGCGUGGGUAGCAAACAGG
rnacentral:rRNA from 1 species